rnacentral:rRNA from 1 species
AUGACCAAGGGGUGUGCAACGCUCUUGGUGGGCAACGACGGGGAGGCUUCACGGCAGUUUGCGGUAUCGGUGACGCUGCUCGCGCAUCCCACGAUCAUCGAGCUGCUCGCUGAGGCGUGGGAGAAGUACGGGUACGCGCCUGAGGGCGCCAUCGUCGUCCCCUGCAGCUUGGAGUGGUUCCAGAGGGCGGUCGACGUGGCGAGGGCCCAAGAACGGCGCCAUCACCAUCACCACCUCCGCCUUCCGCACCUCAUCGGGUGCUUUAGGCCGCCGCAUGUUAUUGCGUAG